AGAAUAUAAAAAGAAAGCCGCUAACUAUCUAAAAGUGAUAAUACACUAUAUUCUU
rnacentral:tRNA from 1 species